GCCAGGCACAGUGGUGCACGCCUGUAAUCCCAGCUGCUCAGGAGGCUAAGGCAGGAGGAUCUCGAAUUCAAAGCCAGCCUCAGCAAAAGCAAGGCACUAAGCAACUCAGUGAAAUCCUGUCUUUA
rnacentral:sRNA from 1 species